UACAGAGGGUGCAAGCGUUGUUCGGAAUUACUGGGCGUAAAGCGCGUGUAGGUGGCGAUGUAAGUCGGAUGUGAAAUCCCUCGGCUUAACCGAGGAAGUGCAUUCGAUACUGCGUUGCUUGAGUACUGGAGGGGUUGGCGGAAUUCCCGGUGUAGAGGUGAAAUUCGUAGAUAUCGGGAGGAACACCUGUGGCGAAGGCGGCCAACUGGACAGUCACUGACACUGAGACGCGAAAGCGUGGGUAGCAAACAGG
rnacentral:rRNA from 1 species